rnacentral:rRNA from 1 species
UCGAGGAUCAUUCGCAAUGGACGGAAGUCUGACGAUGCGACGCUGCGUGAAGGAUGAAGGUCUUCGGAUUGUAAACUUCUGUCAUGAGGGAAAAGGCAAUCGCCGUGAAUAUCGGCGUGCGUUGAUGGUACCUCAAGAGGAAGCCACGGCUAACUCUGUGCCAGCAGCCGCGGUAAUACAGAGGUGGCAAGCGUUGUUCGGAUUUACUGGGCGUAAAGGGCGCGUAGGCGGUCAGGUGUGUCGGAUGUGAAAGCUCUGGGCUUAACCCAGAAAGUGCGUUCGAAACUGCUUGGCUAGAGUACGGAAGGGGGAUGCGGAAUGCAGGGUGUAGCGGUGAAAUGCGUUGAUAUCCUGCAGAACACCGGUGGCGAAGGCGGCAUCCUGGGACGUUACUGACGCUGAGGCGCGAAAGCAGGGGGAGCAAACAGGAUUAGAUACCCUGGUAGU